UUGGCUUGACAUCUGGCCAAUCCUGGCUAUGACAGUUUUGUCACGUGACCCAGAGAGAGUUCCUGCUUGUGGCUUCAAAGAAACAACUCAUCGACAACAAUUCACGGAAAAAUCGCACUUUGCGGCUUGUGGAAGCCCCCACCCUAAAAAUGGCCUCACCAGUCUCUGUCUAUAACUCCAAUGCUGUGGACACACACAUCUCCAGCACGUCUCGAGAGUUCCU